rnacentral:rRNA from 1 species
GUGUCAACAGCCGCGGUAAUACGAAGGGGGCUAGCGUUGUUCGGAAUCACUGGGCGUAAAGCGUACGUAGGCGGACCGUUAAGUCGGAGGUGAAAUCCUGGGGCUCAACCCCAGAACUGCCUUCGAUACUGGCGGUCUCGAGUCCGGAAGAGGUGAGUGGAACUGCCAGUGUAGAGGUGAAAUUCGUAGAUAUUGGCAAGAACACCAGUGGCGAAGGCGGCUCACUGGUCCGGUACUGACGCUGAAGUACGAAAGCGUGGGGAGCAAACAGGAUUAGAUACCCUGGUAGUCCACGCCGUAAACGAUGGAAGCCAGCCGUCGGGCAGCAUGCUGUUCGGUGGCGCAGCUAACGCAUUAAGCUUCCCGCCUGGGGAGUACGGUCGCAAGAUUAAAACUUAAAGAAAUUGGCGG